GAGCCGCUUCUGCCGUUUCUGCAGAUUAUGGUCGCCAUUACAAGAUGACGCUGGCUCCGCUGUGGUCUGUGACAAACAACUCCUUAUCUGGGAGAGUUGGCACAUGAUUUUUCACCACCCUGUACAUCACCCUGUGAGAAAGCUCCACGCGGCAGCUUUGCAUUGGGGCUUGGGAUGCUUUAUUAAGGCUGGGAGGGGCAUCCGAGAGAGAGAAGAAGAAAUAUCCAGGGCCUGAAUAAACUGUUGAAAGAAGAUUCCCGAGUUGCGUCUUCCUUGCGGGCAAGGGGUAGCGACAAGUGGUGCCGAAACCCGGGAACCAGAACUUUCAGCAGUCAGGGGUGGUGCACCGGUUAGUCCCAGAUUUAAUGAUUCCAGAAAUGCCUCCCGCAUCAUCGGAGAGUAUCUAUCCGGAACCUGGUCCAUGGCAGCGGAAGACAUGAUCCAGUCUCAACUAACCCAGAUAGCUGUCUUGAACAGUACUCGUGUUGAUCCUGUGACUUUGGGUCAAUUCACCGAUUGGAUAUCUUCUGCUUUUUCCUUCUUCAAAGAGUGGGUGGGAGUAGGCAUUUUUGGUGCAAUGUGUUGCUUCGGUGUUGUACUUUGUGGCUUCUCUGUCGCCUUAAAACUCGCCAUGCACAAGAAAAGGCUAUGAUCAUACAAGCUCUUGCAGCUUUAGAAAAUGGCAACUCACCUCAAGUCUGGCUUGCGCAUCUUAAACAGUAAACCUUUGUCAUGGUCGUUACACCCCAAGUUAUUAUAACAUUGCACUGGGAUCGACAUGACUUUCCUUGUUAUUCUCUUAGUGUUGGAAAGCCCUUGCACUCUGCCGGUCUUACUGCCAUUGCACGCAGAUGGGUUUCCACACUAGUGCUUUUCUAUCGUCUUAAAGUCCGUGCCUUUCUUUCAGGGUGCUGUCAACUUGUUUGUCAUUAUAAACAGCCACAGUUCAGCCUCAGCUAUCCCCCUUCGUCCACCAUCAUCACGAUACAGGAUGCGAGGCAAGGCACUGCACUUGAGUGAUCCUUGACGUGGACCUCAAGGAGAGCAUGUCCUAUUGCAUGCGGGUUAGACGCGUUCACGCCCCGCCCCACGAAAAAAGGCGUCGGCUGAUAUGGCUUUAGAUCUGGGGAAGGCGCCUCCUUGGGACUGAGUCAUACUAUGCAGCCACUUCUGCACAGUGGGAUAGGACCUCUACUCUCGCCUGUAUUGUUUUAAGAAAACAGAAAAGGGGGAACUGUGGUGAGCCGCUUCUGCCGUUUCUGCAGAUUAUGGUCGCCAUUACAAGAUGACGCUGGCUCCGCUGUGGUCUGUGACAAACAACUCCUUAUCUGGGAGAGUUGGCACAUGAUUUUUCACCACCCUGUACAUCACCCUGUGAGAAAGCUCCACGCGGCAGCUUUGCAUUGGGGCUUGGGAUGCUUUAUUAAGGCUGGGAGGGGCAUCCGAGAGAGAGAAGAAGAAAUAUCCAGGGCCUGAAUAAACUGUUGAAAGAAGA